rnacentral:lncRNA from 1 species
GGGGAGCCGGGGCUGGGCAGCGCCGCUGCCUCGCUGCUGGGCACAGAGCGGCGAGCCCGGGCUGCCCUGAGCCCUGCGUGCCCCUGCCAGGGCCAGCAGAGCUCGUGUCCGAGCGGCCGCUGCACUCACAGCCGCACACGGGCACGGGCGGGGCCCUUGCAGCCACCGCGGGAAGGCAGCGACAUCGCAUUUCACCGUGUGGAAACUGCGGGCCUUGAACGAGCUCCAGUGUGCUGCUGCCUGGCCUCUCUUACAUUUACAGACACAGGAGACAAACGCUGCAACCCUCCUUGUCUGCCUUGUCUGCCUUGUUCACUCGUCCUCAGAGGCUUUGACUCCUCUUGGCUCCCAGCACAAACAGGAACAAAUCUCUUACCUAAAAAGCAGAAUCCUAGCCAUGAAGAAAAGCUCUGGUUACUAUCUGUGCACAGAGAUGCAUUUAGAGUCAUUCUUUCUUGGAAUGGAGCAUCUGUAUUGAAACAUGCUCACCGUCAGCUGCAUGAUGAACAGCAAAGAACCUUCUCUGCAUGUGGAUAAAAGCCAAGCUCAGAUCUGCUAGUGCAAGGUGUUUUUUUUUCUCUGGACAACCAGUUCAGUCUAACUAUACACAUUGUGAAAAUACCCCAGAUAUCAGAGUGAGCAGCAAUAGAUGGAAAAUGAAGGAAGAUUUGGACUGCUGUCAUCCUUCUGAGAACGGCUGUGUGCCUCCUCCAGCAGAGCAGCUAACACACAGCAGCUGUGCUCUCAUCCUGCAAGGUUCUCAGAGGCCUGCUGAGAGAGGAAAAGAUUUGGGACUACUUUUGCUCACAACUACCAGUGCACAGCAUCAAUGUCUUCUGAAACUCACUGGAAGAUUUGACCACAACUUCAAGGACACAUCUGCUCUAUAUUGGAAGCCAAGGAAAGCCAUUAAUCAUUCAAAAUUUGCUGAAGUGUUUGUGAACUGAGCACUCCUGAAUCAGAACAGAAUUUCUAGAGAAACCUGAGCCCAGGUAAGUUUUCUUUUGUUGAUUUUUUUUGUGAAAGUUGUUUUGUACCAACAUCCAAUUUAAGUCAGUUCUUCCUGGUCAGCCUUUCUGUAGCCAUCUCCUACAGAAAGAACCUCCUUGCAGGGUUAGCAGUGAGG